AUUGAACGCUGGCGGCAGGCCUAACACAUGCAAGUCGAACGAGUGGCGGACGGGUGAGUAAUGUCUGGGAAACUGCCCGAUGGAGGGGGGUAACUACUGGAAACGGUAGCUAAUACCGCAUACCAUCGGAUGUGCCCAGAUGGGAUUAGCUAGUAGGUGGGGUAACGGCUCACCUAGGCGACGAUCCCUAGCUGGUCUGAGAGGAUGACCAGCCACACUGGAACUGAGACACGGUCCAGACGCCUACGGGAGGCAGCAGUGGGGAAUAUUGCGCAAUGGGGGCAACCCUGAUGCAGCCAUGACGCGUGUAUGAAGAAGGCCUUCGGGUUGUAAAGUACUUUCAGCGAGGAGGCGUUACUCGCAGAAGAAGCACCGGCUAACUCCGUGCCAGCAGCCGCGGUAAUAC
rnacentral:rRNA from 1 species